AAAUAAGAAGCAUAUAAUGUAUUUAAUUUCGACUUAAAAGAUGGUAUUAAUAUUACCCUUAUUUA
rnacentral:tRNA from 1 species